rnacentral:rRNA from 1 species
AAGAAACUAACAAGGAUUCCCCUNGUAACUGCGAGUGANGCGGGAAAAGCUCAAAUUUAAAAUCUGGUAGUCUUUGGCUGCCCGAGUUGUAAUCUAGAGAAGCAUUAUCCGCGCUGGACCGUGUACAAGUGUCCYGGAAUGGACCAUCAUAGAGGGUGAGAAUCCCGUCUUUGACACGGACUACCAGGGCUUUGUGAUGUGCUCUCAAAGAGUCYAGUUGUUUGGGAAUGCAGCUYUAAAUGGGUGGUAAAUUCCAUCUAAAGCUAAAUNUNGGCGAGAGACCRANANCGAACAANUACCNUGNGGGAAAGAUGANAAGAANUUUGGAAAGAGAGUUAAACAGUACGUGAAAUUGCUGAAAGGGAAACGCUUGAAGUCAGUCGCGUUGGCUGGGNAUCAACCUUGCUUCUUGCUUGGCUUACUUCCCAGUUGACGGGUCAGCAUCAGUUUUGACCGGUGGAUAAAGGUYAGGGGAAUGUGGCACCUYCGGGUGUGUUAUAGCCYCUGGUCAUAUACAUUGGUUGGGACUGA